rnacentral:rRNA from 1 species
UACGGGGGGGGCAAGCGUUGUUCGGAAUUACUGGGCGUAAAGGGUUUGUAGGUGGCUUGUUAAGUCAGACGUGAAAUCCCUCAGCUUAACUGGGGAACUGCGUCUGAUACUGGCGAGCUUGAGUGCAGGAGAGGAACGCGGAAUUCCAGGUGUAGCGGUGAAAUGCGUAGAGAUCAGGAGGAACAUCAAUGGCGAAGGCAGCUCUCUGGACUGUAACUGACGCUGAGGCGCGAAAGCGUGGGUAGCAAACAGG